AGAGUUUGAUCCUGGCUCAGGACGAACGCUGGCGGCGUGCCUAAUACAUGCAAGUCGAACGAGAGCGACCGGUGCUUGCACUGGUCAAUCUAGUGGCGAACGGGUGUGUAACACGUGGGUAACCUGCCCAUCAGAGGGGGAUAACAUUCGGAAACGGAUGCUAAAACCGCAUAGGUCUUCGAACCGCAUGGUUUGAAGAGGAAAAGAGGCGCAAGCUUCUGCUGAUGGAUGGACCCGCGGUGCAUUAGCUAGUUGGUGAGGUAACGGCUCACCAAGGCCGUGAUGCAUAGCCGACCUGAGAGGGUGAUCGGCCACAUUGGGACUGAGACACGGCCCAAACUCCUACGGGAGGCAGCAGUAGGGAAUCUUCCGCAAUGGACGCAAGUCUGACGGAGCAACGCCGCGUGAGCGAAGAAGGUUUUCGGAUCGUAAAACUCUGUUGUUAGAGAAGAACAAGUGCUAGAGUAACUGUUAGCGCCUUGACGGUAUCUAACCAGAAAGCCACGGCUAACUACGUGCCAGCAGCCGCGGUAAUACGUAGGUGGCAAGCGUUGUCCGGAUUUAUUGGGCGUAAAGCGAGCGCAGGCGGUUCCUUAAGUCUGAUGUGAAAGCCCCCGGCUCAACCGGGGAGGGUCAUUGGAAACUGGGGAACUUGAAUGCAGAAGAGGAGAGUGGAAUUCCAUGUGUAGCGGUGAAAUGCGUAGAUAUAUGGAGGAACACCAGUGGCGAAGGCGACUCUCUGGUCUGUAACUGACGCUGAGGCUCGAAAGCGUGGGUAGCAAACAGGAUUAGAUACCCUGGUAGUCCACGCCGUAAACGAUGAGUGCUAAGUGUUGGAGGGUUUCCGCCCUUCAGUGCUGCAGUUAACGCAUUAAGCACUCCGCCUGGGGAGUACGACCGCAAGGUUGAAACUCAAAUGAAUUGACGG
rnacentral:rRNA from 1 species